rnacentral:rRNA from 1 species
AAACCGGGGCUAAUACCGGAUGAAGUCGUCGGGGGCAUCCCUUGGCGAGCAAAGGCGCCGUAAGGCGUCGCCCUUGGAGGGGCCCGCGGGCCAUUAGCUAGUUGGUGGGGUAAAGGCCUACCAAGGCGACGAUGGCUAGCCGGCCUAAGAGGGUGGUCGGCCACACUGGGACUGAGACACGGCCCAGACUCCUACGGGAGGCAGCAGUAGGGAAUUUUGGUCAAUGGGGGAAACCCUGAACCAGCGACGCCGCGUGUGCGACGAAGGCCUUCGGGUUGUAAAGCACUGUCGGUGGGGAAGAAGUCCCUGGCGCGAGCUAGGGGUGACGGUACCCGCAGAGGAAGCCCCGGCUAACUACGUGCCAGCAGCCGCGGUAAUACGUAGGGGGCGAGCGUUGUCCGGAUUUACUGGGCGUAAAGGGCGUCUAGGUGGCACGAUACGUCGGGAGUGAAAGACGUGGGCUCAACCCGCGGUACGCUUUCGAAACGGUCGAGCUGGAGGGCCGGAGAGGGAAGCGGAAUUGCCGGUGUAGCGGUGAAAUGCGUAGAGAUCGGCAGGAACACCAGUGGCGAAGGCGGCUUCCUGGACGGUACCUGACACUGAAGCGCGAAAGCGUGGGGAGCAAACGGGAUUAGAUACCCCGGUAGUCCACGCCGUAAACGAUGGGUGCUAGGUGUGGCGGGUAUCGACCCCCGCCGUGCCGGAGUUCACGCAAUAACACCCCGCCUGGGGAGUACGGCCGCAAGGCUGAAACUCAAAGGAAUUGACGG